UACAGAGGAUGCAAGCGUUAUCCGGAAUGAUUGGGCGUAAAGCGUCUGUAGGUGGCUUUUUAAGUCCGCCGUCAAAUCCCAGGGCUCAACUCUGGACAGGCGGUGGAAACUACCAAGCUGGAGUACGGUAGGGGCAGAGGGAAUUUCCGGUGGAGCGGUGAAAUGUGCUGAUAUCAGGAGGAACACCCAUGGCGAAGGCAGUAGACUGGGCAUCUCCUGACGCUGAGGCGCGAAAGCGUGGGUAGCAAACAGG
rnacentral:rRNA from 1 species